rnacentral:rRNA from 1 species
GGCGAACGGGUGAGUAACACGUGAGCAACCUGCCCCUGACUCUGGGAUAAGCGCUGGAAACGGCGUCUAAUACCGGAUAUGAGCUGCGAUCGCAUGGUCAGCAGUUGGAAAGAUUUUUCGGUCUGGGAUGGGCUCACGGCCUAUCAGCUUGUUGGUGAGGUAAUGGCUCACCAAGGCGUCGACGGGUAGCCGGCCUGAGAGGGUGACCGGCCACACUGGGACUGAGACACGGCCCAGACUCCUACGGGAGGCAGCAGUGGGGAAUAUUGCACAAUGGGCGAAAGCCUGAUGCAGCAACGCCGCGUGAGGGAUGACGGCCUUCGGGUUGUAAACCUCUUUUAGCAGGGAAGAAGCGAAAGUGACGGUACCUGCAGAAAAAGCGCCGGCUAACUACGUGCCAGCAGCCGCGGUAAUACGUAGGGCGCAAGCGUUAUCCGGAAUUAUUGGGCGUAAAGAGCUCGUAGGCGGUUUGUCGCGUCUGCUGUGAAAUCCCGAGGCUCAACCUCGGGUCUGCAGUGGGUACGGGCAGACUAGAGUGCGGUAGGGGAGAUUGGAAUUCCUGGUGUAGCGGUGGAAUGCGCAGAUAUCAGGAGGAACACCGAUGGCGAAGGCAGAUCUCU